UUAUUAGUUAGUAGUGAAUCUAUACUGCAAACAGCAGAUGCUUCCAAUUUUGUAAUAAGAAGCUGCCUCAACUGCAAAAGAGGACCCAACUCUUCUAGAUUCCAUCCAUCUUGCAUUGCAGUGCUAUAAUCACUUCUACCACAAAUUGGAAAUCCAUCUAAAUUAUUGAGGUAUUUCAAACCCCCAAUACCUUUUGGAACCUUAUUUAUUGCCGAACCUUUGAGACCAAGACUCCUUAAGUUAAAUAAUCUACAGAUUGCUAAAGGAAGGCUGUGCAAACUGUCACACUUGUUCAAUUCCAAUACCUCAAGGUUUUUGAGAGAACCAAUAGACUCCGGAAGGCAAGUUAUGCUGGUGUCAUUAAGAUUCAACAAGCGCAAAUGAAUCAAACUUCCAAUAUAAUCUGGAAUAUUUUCUACACUUGACCCACUUAAAUCCAAAACACGAAUAUAUGGAAAUCGCUUGAAAAUUGAAGAUUCAACUACCAAUGACUUGCCACAGAAAUUUAUUGAAGUUCUCACUUUGAGUUGAUGCCUGUCCACAAUAGGUAAAGAGAUCAUAUCAUUGCAUGUUACAACUGACACACGUCGCAAUUUAGAUAUACUCCUGCAAUCCAACGAUCGUGGGUCUCCAAAGAAACACUCUUCUCUUGAUAAAUGCUGAGCAAGUUGUCUUAAGAGGUCAUGCAUUGUGCACCUGUAUGGUUCUGCAUACCGAGGAUCUGGUAGGAGGAGGUUCCUUGAGACCAACUCACAGAAGUAUUCUUCUGCUGUAUCUUCUAGUAGUUGGUUAUUUUGCUUUUCAAUAAAGCCCUCGGCAAUCCAGAGCCUGACAAGAUCAUCACAACGUAGUGUCCAAUCUUCAGGAUACAAAGCACAGUAAAGAAAACAUUGCUUCAGGUUUUGUGGUAGCUGAUCAUAACUCAAGUACAAAGCACCUCUGAGUUCAGCAGGGAGCUUACUUAUGGACCAAGCAUCAUUGUCUAGAAUCUUCUGCCAUUCACUCUCUGUUGUCUCCUUCACUGCAAGAACACUAGCCAUAGUCCUAAUUGCAAGAGGAAGGCCACCACAUUUUCGAACAAUUUCCAUUCCUUUGUCCUGCACGUUGUGCACUUCUUUCUCAUCAGAUAUGUUCAUACUCUUCCAAAGCAGCUCCCAUCCUACUUCCACUGACAUCAAUUCGACUCGAUGCAUGUGUUCCACUCCAAUUGCCUUUGCAACUGUAUCAUGUCGAGUUGUUGUUACAAUUGUUACUUGAGCUGCAGCAUUGAGUGGAGUUCUUAGUAAAUUGGUCCAUACAUCAGACUCCCACAAGUCAUCCAACACAAGGAAAAAGCUGUCUCCUUCAAUGGCUUCUGCAAGUUUGGCUUGAAGCUCUCCGAUGCUUUCACAAUUUUCUUUGUCCACUCCAACAUUUCGAAGUAUUUCAUUCAAUAGAGCAACUUGAGAGUACUGUUGGGAAACGCAAAUCCAUGCAUACUUCUUAAAGUUACCCUUCACUCUUUGAUCAUUGUAUAUUUUCUGAGCUAGUGUUGUUUUUCCAACUCCUCCUGUUCCAACAAUUGCCAUCUUGUAAGCCUUCUUGUCCUUGUGUUCUAGCACCAACCCUACCAAUCUAUUGGUAGCAUGUAUGAUCUCUUUUCCAACAAGAUUUGGUUCUACCAGGUGGGAUGUUUUUCUCAUAUUUGAUACUAAUACUCUAUCAAUAGGUUCUGUUUCAAACUUGAAAUUUGUACCUAACUCUUUAAUCAUCUCUAUUCUUUUGUUGAGGCCUCUAAUCUGUACCGCAAUCUCAUGACGUGUCUUUAGAUUCAAAAAGCAAGAGAAAGUUGCAAAUCCAUUGCAUGUAAUUAAUUUUCUUGAUAAUGAUGAAGAGUUUUCUCCUAGUAGAUUGCUCCCUUUAAACCUGACCAUGUCAAUUAUAUCAUCAGCAUCAUACAUUGCAUCCUUCAGCUCACCAAUCCAAUUACUAACUGCUAAGUCUUCAAUCCUCCUCCGGUCAGCAUCUUUCAGAAAACACUGUAUUUGUGUCAUUGUUCGUUGCAGGUCACUAAGCUCUUGUUUAACACCUAGUAUCUGUAUCGCUUCCUCUAUAAUAAGUUCUUGGAGCUUUUGGAUGCAUGAUCCCGCAAAAGAAAAUAAUAUGGUUGCCAUUAGGUGAAUCCCUGAAGCAGACCCACCACCACCAAUAUAUCUUUUCAGAGCUAAGAAAACCAGUAAUAUGAGGGACUAGCUAGUGAGUUUCCUUGAGCAAGCUUUCACAGUGUUAUUCCAUAAACGAUUGAACUUGGACCUGAAAUUUAUAAAGUUUACAGCAGUAUGUCAAAUCCGUACGCACUUGAAAGAUGUACAACACCACAUGCUCCUAUGAGUACUCAUUAUAUUCUGUAAACUACUACUUGACAUAAUCUCACACUGAUUGCGAAGAGAAUAAAGGAUAUGUAAAUGAUGAAAGCACCUAGGAAAAAUUCACACCAUGCACUAUCGGGCAGAUAGACAAAACCAUCUUGGGUGGACUUAGGUGCAUCCAUCCAUGAGUUUUAGACUCCCUUAUGCACUAUGUUCCAGACUAAAACCCAUGUAAUGGAUCUUUGAUUUCCUUUCACACUAGCCAUUUGUGGAUAUUAUUCUUGUUUUUUGUGCAUUUAUAACUUCAUCUACAAUAAGGACUGAUUGCUAUGCAAAUAGGUCUAUCCUGCUAGUAGAUAGCACCUAGCCUUCCGGAACUCAGGCUUCUGCUUGUAGUUGACUGAGUUUACAUGUUUUUGCUUUGACUUGCCAUUAUAUCUGUAUGUGGAAAGUAUACUCCUUAUUUUUUCAGUGUAAUUGUCUCUUGUGUGCACAUUUAUUUCUGACUUAAGCGCUAGUUCCUGCUCAGCUAAAUAGAAAGAUAAACAUCAAAUGACUCAAACUGACUGAUUUGCAUAUUCUAGCAAUGUUUCCUUUCUAGCAACCUAACUGGUCACAUAUUUCCAUGCUCACAUAUUUCCAACCCUCCUCUCAUACUAAAAACAGCUUUAAAUUUUCAAGAGUUGGUCGACUCAUUUAGCUUCUUUCAUCCAUAAAUCUACUCCAGAAAAUCUGACCUUUCAAGUGCUAGUAAUGUUACAUUGCAAGUCAAAAGAAUAUAGGAGGCUGCAGGAUUUCAUUUCCAUGAAUGAGAAAUGGACGUAACUUGUAACAAUUCUUGGAAGAAGUUAGAAGAUUCCAGUGCGCUCAAGUGCACAAGCCUUACCUGAAUCAAAGACCUAUUUUCAACAGGCCUGACUGACAAUAGAAGUCAAGGAUGCAAGAUCAUCCACCAGCAGCAACAACAGUUUGUUUCUGAAGGUCAACUCAAUACUGAAGGAAGAGGAACAAAGACUAAUUGCUCAAAUAAUAUCCCUCAAUGAACUGAACAUCGAUAGCCAAUAUGUGGUCGUCACCAUGAAAGAGUCACGAUUACUCUGCUUGAAAGGGAAAGAAAAAUGGAUAAAACUGAGAAGGGUAGUUGAAUUGAGAAAUAAAGAAUCUCUGGAUAGUACGGACCUUUGUGCACUACCAGAACUGCAAGCAGAUGACCUUAUUCUUCCUUGACUGGAGAAGACCCAGAGGAUCACUUCAAGCAGCAGUGUGAGGCAGUAAAUUCGACAGAAUUCACAAUGGUAUCCCUCGAAAAAAAAAUAUCAACCGACAAUGAUACACGCCUGCAACUGCAACACAAGUUUGUGAGACUACUGACACUUCGUAACUAUGAAUUAAUCUUAAUGGAACACAUUGUGCUAACCAAUUAAUAGGCAGAUACGGAAUGAAGGAAAUACACCUCUUUCAAAGACAGUACUGUCUCCCAAACCAGAUUGCCUCGCAUCCUCCUCUCCUUUUCCUCACUAUAGCAGAGGAAAUGUGAUGAGUAUUUAUCACUUCAAGCAAUUCACCAUAAUGAAAUAGAAACAGAUAAUUAUGAUGAGCCCAUCACCACAAAAAUGAGUAGUACAGUGUGGUAUGAGCUAUAAGGAGUUAGCAUUCUGUCAUUUUAUUUUGUGAUUUAAAACGAUGUAAUAAAUUGGGACAAUAUUUAGUAUCAUGCAAAAGAAACCUCUACUAUGAUUGUUUGAUUCACCAUGAGCAGACUUAUGGUAAUGACGAUGGAAACCAUGAGCAGAGCAAAAAACAUACCCUGAGCAGAGGCAGAGCAAACCAGAGCUAAAGGACGCAAAUCAGCAGAGAGGUAGCUGGAAACUGGAGAGCCAUCACUUCCUGGCUAAAAGCUUCAUCUUCCUUGUGUCACAUGAAUUGUGCAGCUGAAGGAGCAACUACUCUUCAAUCAUCUCUCUAACAGAAAGAAAAAUGAAGUGGUGCAUAAUCAACACAUGCAAAUCAAGCUUGAGCUAGGAGGAGAAAGAUUAUGAAAUCUGAAUCGUUAUGGACUAACUGUUCAAUUCGAGCUUACCAAACUGAAAGGAUAUGAUGCAGAGACAGAGGAGGAGGAUGAAAACGCAAGGAGCAGUUCCUACUGAAGCAUCCUCUCUAUUCCUCCUCUUAUCGGCAUCACUUGAGCAUCGAGAAAAUGAAUUCUCUGGCAGAAAAUAGUGGACAAAGUAUAGAACAGAUAAAUGUGUGACAACCACACAAUCACUGAAAACCAACAGAUCACACGUUAACUCCUGGAAAAAGUGGAGACACUAGAAAAUGAAUUCUCUAGCAGAAAACAAGUGCAUGAUCAACGAAAUGAGAAGAAAUAGGUGCAUGAUGAAGACACGUAUGUGAAGCGUGACUUAGGAAGAGAGAGAGAGGAAAGAAAACAUCCGAACCCUUUAUGGACCAGACAAUCAAUUUGAGCUUACCAAAUUAAACAACGCAGAAACAGAGGAGCCAGUUGAAAACCCAAAUAGCACUUCCUACUCAACCAUCAUCCCUGUUCCUCCUCUUAUUGACAUCACUUGAGCAGCGAGAAAAUGAAAUCGUGCAGGAAGUUUGUAUGUAGAUUCACCAAUACUUCCCCCUUGCAACAGCGUUGGAUCUCAUUGAUCAGAAAAGCUUGGAAUUUCAGUGCAGUGGCAAGUGCAAUGACCUAACCUUGUAUAAGAAGAUGCAGAUAUGUCAUUGUUGAACAGGUCAUCUGUGGUUGGCGUCGGCGGCCGAGCGGGUCAAGGUCUCCGUCCUCUAGCAUGGGGAAGGGGCCAUGUAGCGUCGUCUAGCCAGUGACAUGCAACUGUAACGAUGGCACGUUACACCUAACAAGGGUAUUGAAAUCUGCCUAAUCUCCAUGCCCAGACACAAGGUCAAGGUCUGUGGUAUGGCCAUCGCUGUCAAGUGUGGAAGGUGAUUGACAAACAAUUGCAACGUCCCCUUGUUCAGACAGCAGUACUACACAGGCAGUCUGAACUUGUAUAGGAAUUGUGGCAUUUUCUGGCCCGAUUUUGAAACCCAAAUUGCUGUACGAUGAAAUGAACAAAAGCACUGAACAGUCAGGCCCCUGCAAAUUUUUCCAGGAUAUUUACUUUAUUCAUUCAAUUCCACUUUGCUGAGUGUUUUUUUCUCUUUUGCCGAGGGCCAAAAUUUGCCAAGUGCCUUUGGAUAUUUUUGUCGAGUGUAAGUCUUUGCUAAGUGUUUCCACUAACAACACCGGGCAAACAUACUAACGGAUGUACACGUGGCACGUUCUUUGCCGAGUGUCCAUGCGCGUUUUUGCCUAGUGUCUUUUGAUCUGUUUACCAUGUGUCGCGUUGUUUGCCGAGUGUUUUUGUGUUGACACUCGACAAAUAGCUUCUUUGCCGAGUGCUUGAUAGAAUACACUCGGCAAAGAACUUGGCACUCGGCAAACCCACAAUUUCCAGUAGUUUUGGGAGAGGUUCUUCACGUCAGGGAGCUCAAAAACGUGUCACUUUUUAUCUUUGAAUAAGAAACCUGUGACAUUGAAUGUGGCUUUAAAGAGUAAGCUGCAAAGUGGAAACUGCUUCCGAUAAAAGUAGUUGGAACUCUUUUUUUAAAAAAAAAGCAUUAUGCUGGAAACAUAUAAACAGAAAUGAGUACGAUUUCACCCAUAUUACGUGUAAGUUGCAGGCACCGGCCAAGAUAUGAUUUUAACCUGCAUUUCUUGUCGCUACUACAGAAUGAAUCUGCCUCGCAUUUCUCCUUGGUUGGUUCACAGAAGAUGCAUGACUAAAAUAAGUAAGAGCAGUUUUUUUUAUAUACAUUAAUGUUGGUAGGAACAGCGAAACAAGAGCUCACUUUUCCUAGCAGCAACAGAAAGCACGCAACAGCCGAUGCAGUUCUUCGCAUUACAAGAUCACAAUCUACAACAGGUGCAAGUUCAUCACAGAAUUAAUUGAGAAACUCAAGUAGCAGUGUAGCACACGUUUUCAUUCAUACAUACACCACAAGGAUGGUCAAACACUUAAAUAACAAGACGCAAGCCUUCCCACAGUCUAGAAACAAGAGAGGAAGCCGUCUGCUCAUCUUGAUUAAUUGCUGUGGUUAGCUCAUAUUUUAUUCUUUUUAUUGAUGGAAGUGGUUUGCUCAUCCUGAUUGCUGUGGUUCUUGAACAAUCAUUCUCCAGUCCUUCAUCCAGAAGCAUGCACUCCUUCCAUGCAUACAACGUCAUGUAGCUUCACGACCAAUCACAUGAUUAAGGAAAGAUAGCUCCAGUCACUUCCAAUGGCAAGAAAACAGAGCACGAAUGGAAAGCGGAGGAGAAAUAAAUAUGCAAAAUAUCCAGUGAAUGGUCAUACCUUGCACAUUCGUAGCUAUAUAAAAGUAUCACUCCUCCCAAGGGUAGACAUCCAGGUCUUCUCCGUGCAGCUGUUGGUGACGCUCUUGGAGUCCAGCUAGCCAUUGUGAGGAGACAUCUUCCAUAUCCUCUGUCAGAAACAGCUGGUGCAACUUGUCCAAACCCUCAACACACCUCAGAGCUUCACAUAGACCUACACGCAACAGUUUCAUCUGGGGAAUAUUUGAGAUCCUCUCCAGGCAUUCACAAUAUGAGACUGAAAGUUCCUCAGACAGAAAUGGGAAGUUCUCCACCACCUUAAUAUUGUCCAUGAAUUUUAAUCGGAGCUCCUUCAAGCUGGUGGCUUCCUGUCCAAGCUGCCGUGGAAGAGCUCUCAGCUUGGGGCAGCUGUAAAAAUCCAGGCCCUUCAAACGUGGCAGCAGCUGCAUCCUUGGAGGUGGGGCUUCCCCCUUUUGCUUUGCAGCAGCUCCAUCCUCUCCACCUUCCUUACCUGCUGCCGUUGCUUCUUCUUCUUCAACUACAAAGGUCCACUCCUCCCAGUUGGGCAUAUACCCGAUGGACAACGUUUCAAGCUUGGGGAAAGCAACUGCCUCUGGAGAUCCGAAAUUACCCACCCCCAAGCCAAUAAAUUCAGGUCCAAUCUUGGUGACUGCAGUUGCUCCCUGGAUUCUCAGGAAUUUCAAGUUGGGAAGGUGCCCGAUUGGAGGAAGUUGCGUAUAGGAUUUGCAAUUUUUAAGUAUCAAGUAUUUUAGUGAAGGCAAAUGUCUAGCAGCACCUAACCAGGUAGGAAACCUCCGACCACAAAAUCGCUUGAAACGUAGAGCUUCCAGGUUUUUUGGAGGUAUUAGCUGAUCAAAUACCUUCUCAAUAUUACUAAUAACCUCUUCAGAGUAUGGUUCCUCCGCACAUUCAGUGCAACGUAAAUCUAAUUCUUUAAGAUGCUUUUUAUUAGUUAGUAGAGAAUCUAUACUGCAAACAGCAGAUGCUUCCAAUUUUGUAAUAAGAAGGUGCCUCAACUGCAAAAGAGGACCCAACUCUUCUAGAUUCCAUCCAUCUUGCAUUGCAGUGCUAUAAUCACUUCUACCACAAAUUGGAAAUCCAUCUAAAUUAUUGAGGUAUUUCAAACCCCCAAUACCUUUUGGAACCUUAUUUAUUGCCGAACCUUUGAGACCAAGACUCCUUAAGUUAAAUAAUCUACAGAUUGCUAAAGGAAGGCUGUGCAAACUGUCACACUUGUUCAAUUCCAAUACCUCAAGGUUUUUGAGAGAACCAAUAGACUCCGGAAGGCAAGUUAUGCUGGUGUCAUUAAGAUUCAACAAGCGCAAAUGAAUCAAACUUCCAAUAUAAUCUGGAAUAUUUUCUACACUUGACCCACUUAAAUCCAAAACACGAAUAUAUGGAAAUCGCUUGAAAAUUGAAGAUUCAACUACCAAUGACUUGCCACAGAAAUUUAUUGAAGUUCUCACUUUGAGUUGAUGCCUGUCCACAAUAG
rnacentral:lncRNA from 1 species